AUCCAGCUGACGAGUCUCAAAUAAGACAAAACGCGUCCUGGAU
rnacentral:hammerhead_ribozyme from 1 species